rnacentral:lncRNA from 1 species
UUGGGGUUGAAGGUGAACAACAAGGAGAAGAAGAUGCAGAAGGAGGAAGGAGAAGCCCUCAUGGGUUAGCUGAGUCAUAAAAAAAUGUGGCAACCAGGGCUGGUCAAUUGGAGUUAAGACCAGCCCAGAAGGAACAUAGCAAGGAGCAGGACCUCACACAGCCCAGGAUAGAGCUGUAUUCUGUGUACCAGAGGAUGGCUGUGAAGUCUUGAUCCUCCUGGGGAAUGGAAUGUGUCCAGGCCCUUCUGUCUCCUCUUCAUAAAAAAUAUCACUUCUAUUGUUUCAUAUGUAUGGCGCUGAACUUCUUUCAUUCUGCUGUAAUGCUGCAUAGACCUGAAACCGCAAAUAGGCUCCAAACAGUCAAUGCUUUAUACUGUGUUUAAUUAAAGAUAUUUUAAACGAAAUAAGAGUAAGUAGUAGGGUUUUUUUUGUAAAGGUCCUCAGUUUGAAGUCUCUCUGCAUUCUCAAAGGUUAGAUUUG